CAGAAAAGGCUCUCAUGAGCAAUGAGGCUGCCUUUCUUGGGAUGAAGGAAAGAAAGGCUGAGUGUGCCUGAUCUGGGUCGAUGAGAGGCAGAACGAAGGGCACCUAUCCAAAGGGUUAAAUCUGUGUCAGGGUACGAAAAGGUAUUACAAAGCAGAAAGAAGAGUGUGCUAUUUUCCGGUGCAAGCAGUUGUGUUAGGUGCCUUGGGAGGCUGCUGGGUAUGGUCUGUGUCUGGCAGUCUAUGUAUGCAUGAUCAGCCCUGACAAGCACAAAGGGCAGAGAGGAAGUGUGAGCUGAAGUCAUUUACAGGAACAGGGAACACCCAAGCAAACUCUCUCACAUGGUAAGUAAAGGCACCUAGACAGCCAGGUCCCAAAGACGGAGACAUAGAUCCCAUCUUGUGCAACAUUAUGAUAGGUUCCAGGCUCUUCAACUUCCUGGCCCUGUGUCUCUUGGUGGCAGGUCCAGUGGAUCCUAGAAUUAUCCAGACACCAAAACAUCUGGUGACAGUCAUGGGGAAUGAAAGGACCCUGAAAUGUGAACAGCAUCUAUCUCACAAUGCUAUGUACUGGUAUAGACAAAGUGCUAAGAAGUCCCUACAGCUCAUGUUUUCUUAUAGACUCCAAAAACUCGUUGAAAACCAGAUUAUCUCAACCCGAUUCCAACCUCACAAUCCAGGGAAAUCCUACCUAGACCUUCAGAUCUCAGCCCUGGAGCCUGAUGACUCAGCCACAUAUUUCUGUGCUAGCAGCCAAGACACAGCCUACAGAGCUCUUGCUCUCCUGUACACAAACCUCCUCAGUCUAUCCAGGAAACGGUUGCUGUAA